rnacentral:rRNA from 1 species
GCAUAUCAAUAAGCGGAGGAAAAGAAAAUAACAAUGAUUCCCUUAGUAACGGCGAGUGAAGGGGAAAAAGCUCAAAUUUUAAAUCUGCUAGGUUUUACUUAUCAGAAUUGUAAUUUGAAGAAGCGUUUUCCGCGUCUUGGUUGGCCCAAAUCCUUUGGGAUAAGGUAUCAUGGAGGGUGAGAAUCCCGUUCAGUUGACCUUAUGACGCUCUACGAUACGCUCUCUAAGAGUCGAGUUGUUUGGGAUUGCAGCUCAAAAUGGGAGGUAAAUUUCUCCUAAGGCUAAAUAUCGGCGAGAGACCGAUAGCGAACAAGUACCGUGAGGGAAAGAUGAAAAGAACUUUGAAAAGAGAGUAAAAUAGUACGUGAAAUUGUUGAAAGGGAAACGAUUGAAGUCAGUCGUACCGACGAGAAAUCAACUUAUCGUGUGCGAACU